rnacentral:rRNA from 1 species
UACGUAGGUGGCAAGCGUUAUCCGGAAUUACUGGGCGUAAAGCGCACGCAGGUGGCAUGUUAAGUCUGACGUGAAAGCUCCUGGCUUAACUGGGAGAGGUCGUUGGAGACUGGCAGGCUUGAGGUAAGGAGAGGGGUGCAGAAUUCCCGGUGUAGUGGUGGAAUGCGUAGAUAUCGGGAGGAAUACCAGUGGCGAAAGCGGCACCCUGGCCUUGGCCUGACGCUCAGGUGCGAAAGCGUGGGGAGCGAAC